rnacentral:rRNA from 1 species
UACGGGGGAGCAAGCGUUGUUCGGAUUUACUGGGCGUAAAGGGCGCGUAGGCGGCCUCCGCAAGUCGACUGUGAAAUCUCCGGGCUUAACCCGGAAAGGUCAGCCGAAACUGCGGGGCUAGAGUGCAGAAGGGGCAACUGGAAGUUCUCGGUGUAGCGGUGAAAUGCGUAGAUAUCGAGAGGAACACCUGCGGCGAAGGCGGGUUGCUGGGCUGACACUGACGCUGAAGCGCGAAAGCUAGGGGAGCGAACGGG